rnacentral:rRNA from 1 species
CCUACGGGAGGCAGCAGUGGGGAAUAUUGGGCAAUGGAGGAAACUCUGACCCAGCAACGCCGCGUGAAUGAUGAAGGUCUUCGGAUUGUAAAGUUCUUUUCUAAGGGAAGAAGAAAGUGACGGUACCUUAGGAAUAAGCCUCGGCUAACUACGUGCCAGCAGCCGCGGUAAUACGUAGGAGGCAAGAGUUAUCCGGAAUGACUGGGCGUAAGGGGUGCGUAGGUGGUUUGACAAGGUGGUAGGGUAAAUCCGGGGCCCAACCUCGGCACUACUACCAAAACUGUCGGACUUGAGUGCAGGAGGGGCAAAUGGAAUGCCUAGUGUAGCGGUGGAAUGCGUAGAUAUUAGGAGGAACACCAGUGGCGAAGGCGAUUUGCUGGACUGUAACUGACACUGAGGCACGAAAGCGUGGGGAGCAAACAGGAUUAGAUACCCGGGUAGUC